UAGGUAGAAGCCUGCAGGUUAGGGCAUAUAGCUGUUAACUAUAGUGUUGUGGGAUCGAGGCCCAUCUGCCUAG
rnacentral:tRNA from 1 species